UCGACAACCCAUUCUCUGAGAGCUGUUUGCCCAUUUCAUACACCGCUAAUAAAAUGAAGAGCAGUCAGUUUCAGUUUAGGCAGUGGCACGUGUGGCGCGCAUGGUCAUGUCAUGACUUUUUCCAGUGUGCAGCGCAGAGAACGGGUAAAGAUGGAUGCGGAGCAAACGAUCUUUCAAUCGAAUGGACAAGAUAAGCUCAUGCAAUUUACAUAUGAAUGUACCCGGAGACGACAGAAAACACACAAAGAGCAUCAGCUUUCGUUUAAGCAAGACCACACCGGACGCGGUGAAUGUGUGUUAGAAAUCAGGAAUGGCAGUCUCUUCCAGUGGGUGAUUCAUGGAAUCUUGAGAAUCACUGAUUUGGCACUUUUACAACUACAGGAAUUCUCUUUAAGCAAUUACCAAAGUGCCUGGCGAUGGCCCGCGGACACAUACUGCUGUUCCAUGUGAGGUAAGAUCACUGACAGUCUACUGUUUAGUCAAACAGACUACAAAAGACACAGCAAUCAAUAGGCAGGAGCACACUGAGAUGAUCGAACGCAAGCUCAACACCUUCUCACAUACACACCUCAGACGAUCAUUACAGGAGCUGAUGUCAGUAUUGAUUACCUCCUCUGUGUCAUCAAGUGAAUACUAUUGC